rnacentral:rRNA from 1 species
GUGUCAGCCGCCGCGGUAAUACAGAGGGGGCUAGCGUUGUUCGGAAUUACUGGGCGUAAAGGGCGCGUAGGCGGCCCUCUAAGUCGAACGUGAAAUCCCCGGGCUCAACCCGGGAACUGCGUCCGAUACUGGAGGGCUCGAAUCCGGGAGAGGGAUGUGGAAUUCCAGGUGUAGCGGUGAAAUGCGUAGAUAUCUGGAGGAACACCGGUGGCGAAGGCGGCAUCCUGGACCGGUAUUGACGCUGAGGCGCGAAAGCCAGGGGAGCAAACGGGAUUAGAUACCCCUGUAGUCC